CUUCAUUCCCGCAGUGGCCUCAGAGAUGGCCCUGCUGUCCAUGUACCCAUUUCGUAAGAGAGAGGUUAACAGCGCAGACUUGCAGAGCUGGACCACAAAGGUUCUGGAAUUGUGGUUGGCCUCAGCAGAGACUGUGACAGUCAUUCAAGAGAGAUUCUGCGUAGAGCACUCCUGUGGCUGUGGUCUGCACCCUCGGCUUCUUUUUCUCCUGUCCUUUUACCCGAG
rnacentral:lncRNA from 1 species